UAAUAGCUCACUGGUCGAGUCGGCCUGCGCGGAAGAUGUAACGGGGCUAAACCAUGCACCGAAGCUGCGGCAGCGACACUAUGUGUUGUUGGGUAGGGGAGCGUUCUGUAAGCCUGCGAAGGUGUGCUGUGAGGCAUGCUGGAGGUAUCAGAAGUGCGAAUGCUGACAUAAGUAACGAUAAAGCGGGUGAAAAGCCCGCUCGCCGGAAGACCAAGGGUUCCUGUCCAACGUUAAUCGGGGCAGGGUGAGUCGACCCCUAAGGCGAGGCCGAAAGGCGUAGUCGAUGGGAAACAGGUUAAUAUUCCUGUACUUGGUGUUACUGCGAAGGGGGGACGGAGAAGGCUAUGUUAGCCGGGCGACGGUUGUCCCGGUUUAAGCAUGUAGGCUG
rnacentral:rRNA from 1 species